GUGAGGGAGUGACUAGUGACAGAGGGAGGUAGUGACUAAUGACAGAGGGAGGUAGUGACUAGUGACAGAGUGAGGGAGGGGGUGACAACAACAUAGGUCACCCCAUCCCUCUCUCUGUCACUAGUCACUCCCUCCCUCCCUAACUCUGUCACUGUGUCACCCGCUCCCUCACUCUGUCACUAAUCACCCCCUCACUCACUCUGUCACUAAUCACCACCUCUGUCCCUAGUCACCCCCUUCCUCAC